GUUUGUGUUGGAUGGUGAUUCAGUGUGAUUACUGGUUAAUAUACUCGCGUGUCUGCAACUGUAUUACAAUUUUGUUCGUACUCCAAGUUACCUGACAGACAGGCACCAUGUCUCCCUCUCAGUUUCCAGCUCUGAUGCUGCUUCUGGUCUCCAGCUCCUGGGCCUCAUAUUUCCAUGGAGGGACCAUGACCUUUAAACUCAGAGGGACCAACCCUGACGGAACCUACAGGGUGGAACUUCGCUACAAGACAGGCUUUCACUCCUGCCCUGACUCUGAUCCCUUUACCUGGACGUGUGCCAGUGGAGACUGUGGAAAUCAGACCAGUCUAGUAGUUCAGACAGUGGAUGAGCAGACAUCUGGAGACUACAUCUGGUGUCAGAAAGAGGGAGUCAUGACUCAAAGUGUCUCCAAUAAGACCAACACUUUUGAUCUGAAUUAUAUCGGCGGUAAUUGGAUAUUCAACCACAACAGCGUUGUUGGUUGGAGGCUGUUGACCCAUGUGGAUCUUGGGGUCAGGUCUGACACAGGGAAAGCCAACCGAUCUCCCCAGACCACUGUCAUUCCUCUGAUGCGUGUCCCUGUUAAUUGUCAGAGAGAUUUCCAGUUUUUGAACUUUGACCCUGAUGGGGAUGAGGUCAGAUGCAGAUAUGCAGAAGCUCCUGAAGAGUGUGUCACACUCAGUAACUUGUCUCUAGACUUCACCCUGGUGUCCUGCACAUUGUCCUUUUCCAGCAUCAGUAAUACCACUGGAACGUAUGUUGUUCAGAUGGUGAUGGAGGAUUUUCCUAUUCAGUCCAUCUCUCUCUUCUACAAUGACGGAACUCAAUCUAACAGGACUUCUGGUGAUACACUCAGCAAACUACCCGUUCACUUUGCAAUAAGAGUGGAUCCCGCUGUUCCAUCCUGUACAGAAGGGGACUACCUACCCAUGUUCCUGUCUCCAACACCAGACCAGGGAGCAGUGCUCCUUGCCUCCACAGACCAACCACUGGAGAUUACUGUCAGAGCUCAGGCUACCCAGUCCACGGCUACAGAGCUGUUGGUGAGUGGACCUCAGCGCAUCACAAAGAACGCCCCCAGCCCAGGACUGUACCUUCUAAGAUGGAUGCCUUUUGAAGAGGAUGAGGGAGGGUCUUAUCCUGUGUGCUUCAUCGCUCAGAGUGUAAACGGCAGUUCCCUGUACCAAUCGGAGCUGCGUUGUGUCAUCAUCAGUGUUGGAAACCAAAGCGCCGUCACAACUACAGCUCACUCUACAAUAACCCUUCCUCCGACAACACAAAUCAUAACCACGAUGACCACAAAUACAUUUCCAACUACCAUCCAAUCAACUACAGCGCAAUCCCCACAAACCCCUCAACUCACCAACCCACGCGCAACUUUCAGUCAAAACUUAACCACCAGUCUUACGAUUGACCAUGUGGGCAACGCACCAAAAAGCAGCAUGACUAAGCACAUUGUCGUAGUGAACGUAAUGCUUUCCUUUCCAAGACCAACUACGGAUGAGUUCAUCAGUAAUGUGCUUUUACCAGUGGUCCAUCAGAAAAUAACCAGCUAUGGCUUUCCAAAACUCUUCACAUUGAGCCUGAUUGCAACUCACCCAAUCAACCCGUGAAGGAGGGACAGAAAUGUGUCUUGAUCAAAUAGUCCCUUGCGUCACGUGAUCAUAUCGAAAUUGCUAAGCUAGUAUAUUUUGGACUCAAGAACUGAUCCGCUCUACAUACAGGUGACCUCACUCUGCAUCGGCUGUAACAACACAAAUCGCCAGGUGUGUGUUUGUGUUUCCCCUCCUUCUGCCCUAAUCACAGGUGUCCUUUAUGUUCCGGAUUGUUGUCGUUGGUGUGUCCCAACUGGCAGUCAUCAGUGCUCAUCUGACUGCUGAGGUGGACCAAUCAGUGGACACUCCUCCUGAUUGCACCACCUGUUCCCUUUAUCCAUUACUCAAUCACAUCACACAUCCCCUGGUUUAUAACCCCCCCCCCCCCCCCCCCCCCCCCCCCCCCCAAGAAAGACUAUUUUUGCUUCAUCCCAUAUAAGUUGAUAUAGACAUAAACUUGUGAAACAUACCCUUUUGAUAGACAGACACUUGUUCAUUCAUACACCACAUAAUCUUAGUGCAUACAUCUCACUUUGUCCUGUUUCCUGUGAGUACUCUAUGUAUUGCUGUGAUGUUUUGUUUGGUGUUGUCUAGUCAAUUGUUUGCUGUUUGGUCACUGAUUAACCUAUGUGUUUUGUUUAUAUCUGGGAAAAGGUGAUUUUUAGCAAGUCGCCCUUAGGCGUACACAAACUGUAUGAAAACUGUCCACCCACUGUAUUUUUCUAUAGGUUAGUGGUUCGCUAAGCUGUUCUUGAGGCAGGCAAGUUCAGUUUAGGGGUUUUUGACUAUAUUAUUUCAUUCUUUGGAUCCAGCUCAGCCCCUUUUCCCUAACCCAUUUACUGUGUGUUCAUCAUAAACGUUUUAUGUUUGACGGUAGCUUUGGUUGUCUUGUUCUCACUCUUCCUUCACACUAUUACACUAUGCAUGAGUUUUAUGUUACGGGUCUCUGUACCUUCCACCUUAGACUGCUAGAGCCACAGGGAUGUAUAUUUUAACCUUCUGAUCAUUGUUUGGUUUUAAAUCCAAACCUUUUCAGUAAAUAGUUUCAAAAGGUGAAGAAAUGCUUCACUGUCCCAAUAAUAAAAAAGGGCACUGUAUCUCAGUUGAAUGUGUUGACUAUCAUCUCUGGAAAUCUGCUCAGUGACAGUAUGAGAAGAGAAGUGUGAGAAUAAGAGUACAAUGGCUUCAAAAAUGUGGGUUGAUAGAGCUGCAGUUACAGUGACCAAGCGCCUGACAUAUACUGUGAUAAGAUCAGAUUGGAUCACACAGUCUCUCCCAAACAGGUUGGAUCUCAUCUUUCAUUAUUAUAAUCACAUGUGGAAUUGAGCCAAAUACUUCUGCCUUUCUGUUGUGAAUGGAAGGUGAUUGGUCAGGUCGUAUGACUGGAUGGGAUUGGAACAUUUUAGGCCAUUCUAAUAACAUUUUUAAUAUUUCCCUACUGGUGUGUUGUUCAAGUUCUUGGAUUUAACUGGAUUACUGAGGUAAACCAAACAUUUCUAUGCGCUACUUCCUGGUUGACCUUGCUGGAGAAAGAUACCAACAGAAACAAUGAUACUGUCACGUUUCAUAAAGGGAGGCAGAGGCAGGCGCAGAAUUUGGAGGAGUUUCCUUUUAAUAACCUCGAAGGCAAUGACAACAGAAGGCCGGGCACUACGUGAUACUUAGGGGUUCAGGAGGUCCGACAACAUGACAAGCACAGAGGCACAGUGACCAACAGAGACAAUGAGAAAAUGGCCGAACUAAAUACACAGACUGACGAGGAGAACAGAAACAGGUGGCGCCUAAACACAGGUGUUUUCACUUUCUCAUAGGCACGCAUGACUACUUGUAGCCCGGUGUGCAUCUGGGUUGCCCGGGGGUUGUGCAGAAAAGGCAAGGACUCAGACAGAACCCGAUCAGAAGACCCAGAGACACAGACAGGCACCAUGUCUCCACCUCGGUCAGCUCUGAUGCUGCUGCUGGUCUCCGGCUCCUGGGCCUCCCAUUUCUACGGAGGAACCAUGACGUAUGACCCCAGAGGGACCAACCUGGACGGAACCUACACAGUGGAACUUCGCUACAAGACAGGCUUUCACUCCUGUCCUGACUCUGAUGGCUUAACCUGGACGUGUACCAGUGGAGACUGUGGAAAUCAGACCAGUCUAGUAGUUCAGACAGUGGACCAGGAGAUAUCUGGAGACUACAUCUGGUGUCAGAAAGAAGGAGUCAUGAUUAGGGUCUCCAAUAACAUGCACUCUUAUGACCUGAGUUAUAUCGGCGGUAAUUGGAUAUUCAACGACAACGACGUUGUUGGCUGGACGCUGUUGACCCAUGUGGAUCUUGGGGUCAGGUCUGACACGGGGAAAGCCAACCGAUCUCCCCAGACCACUGUCAUUCCUCUGAUGCGUGUCCCUGUUAAUUGUCAGAGACAUUUCCAGUUGUUGAACUUUGACCCAGAUGGAGAUGAGGUCAGAUGCAGAUAUGCAGAACCUCCAAACGAGUGUGUCACAGCAAGUAACGUUACAUCAAGUAACAUGCCUCAGGACUUCAGCAUACAACUGGUGUCCUGCACUUUGUCCUUUUCCAGCAUCAGUAAUACCACUGGAACGUAUGUUGUUCAGAUGGUGAUGGAGGAUUUUCCUAUUCAGUCCAUCUCUCUCUUCUACAAUGACGGAACUCAAUCUAACAGGACUUCUGGUGAUACACUCAGCAAACUUCCCGUUCACUUUGCAAUAAGAGUGGAUCCCGCUGUUCCGUCCUGUACAGAGGGGGACUACCUACCCAUGUUCCUGUCUCCAACACCAGACCAGGGAGCAGUGCUCCUCGCCUCCACAGACCAACCACUGGAGAUCACUGUCAGAGCUCAGGCUACCCAGUCCACGGCUACAGAGCUGUUGGUGAGUGGACCUCAGAACAUCACAAAGAACACCACCAGCCCAGGACUGUACCUUCUAAGAUGGACGCCUACUACAGAGGAUGGAGGGGCUUAUCCUGUGUGCUUCAUCGCUCAGGGACUGAAUGGCAGUUCCCUGUACCAAUCUGAGCUGCGCUGUGUCAUCAUCCGUGUUGGAAACGAAAGUGCUCCUACAUCUACCAUUCCAAACAUAACCACCAAUCUCCCAGCCAUCUUAACUACCAAUCCCACAACCACCUCAAUCACCAAUCCCACAACCACCUCAAUCACCAAUCCCACAACCACCUCAAUCCCCAAUCCCACAACCACCUCAAUCCCCAAUCCCACAACCACCUCAAUCCCCAAUCCCACAACCACCUCAAUCUCCAAUCCCACAACCACCUCAAUCCCCAAUCCCACAACCACCUCAAUCCCCAAUCCCACAACCACCUCAAUCCCCAAUCCCACAACCACCUCAAUCCCCAAUCCCACAACCACCUCAAUCCCC
ensembl:lncRNA